GCAUUGGUGGUUCAUUGAAAGAAUUCUCCCCUUCCAUGCAAGAGAUCUGGGUUCGAUUCCCAGCCAAUGCU
rnacentral:tRNA from 1 species